rnacentral:rRNA from 1 species
AACGAACGCUGGCGGCGUGCCUAACACAUGCAAGUCGAACGGAACGUUCGGGUCUUGUCGCGCACGGGUGCGUCACGCGAGGGGAGCUGCACUUGGGUUCGGACUACCUCCCCGACCGGGAUGCUAAUGCGAGACAGUGUCUUCGGACCAAAGAUUUAUCGCCUCUGGAUGGGCCCGCGUUAGAUUAGCUGGUUGGUAGGGUACUCGCCUACCAAGGCGACGAUCCAUAGCUGGUCUGAGAGGAUGCUCAGCCACACUGGGACUGGGACACGGCCCAGACCCCUACGGGAGGCAGCAGUGGGGAAGAUUGGACGAUGGGCGAGAGCCUGAGCCAGCAAUGCCGCGUGGGUGAUGAAGGCGUGAGGGUUGUAAAGCGCUUGUACCCGGGAGGAUAAUGACGGUACCGGGAGAAUAAGCCCCGGCUAACUCCGUG